rnacentral:rRNA from 1 species
AAAAAUUUGGCGGUAUUUUAGUCUAUUCAGAGGAACCUGUUCUAUAAUCGAUAAUCCACGAUGGACCUUACUUAAAUUUGUAAUCAGUUUAUAUACCGUCGUUAUUAGAAUAUUUUAUAAGAAUGUUAAUUUUCAUAAUUUUUUAUUAGAAUGUAUAUCAGAUCAAGGUGUAGCUUAUAUUUAAGUAGAAAUGGGUUACAAUAAAUUUAUUUAUAUGGAUAUAAAUUUGAAAAGUUUAUUGAAGGUGGAUUUGAAAGUAAAAUUAUAUAGAUAAAUAAUUUGAUUUUAGCUCUAAAAUAUGCACACAUUGCCCGUCACUCUUAUUAUUAAGGUAAGAUAAGUCGUAACAUAGUAGAUGUACUGGAAAGUGUAUCUAGAAUGCAAUUUAAAGCUUAUUUAGUAAAGUAUUUCAUUUACAUUGAAAGGAUUUUUGUGCAAAUCAAUAUAAAUUGAUUAAAUUUUAUUUAUUAAAUUUAUUCUUUUUUAUUUUAAUUUAUUAAAAGUAAUUAUAAAAGUAACUUGUUUUAGUAUUUUAUUAAAAAAAAUAAUUAUAAUAAUAGUGUAAUAGUAUUGUGAAAGAAAAUUGAAAUAAUUUGAAAAAUU